rnacentral:rRNA from 1 species
UCGCCCUACGGGGCGCAGCAGUGGGGGAUAUUGCACAAUGGGGGGGAACCCUGAUGCGGCGACGCCGCGUGGGUGAAGAAGCGCCUCGGCGCGUAAAGCCCUGUCAGCAGGGAAGAAAAUGACGGUAACUGAAGAAGAAGCCCCGGCUAACUACGUGCCAGCAGCCGCGGUAAUACGUAGGGGGCAAGCGUUAUCCGGAUUUACUGGGUGUAAAGGGGGCGCAGACGGCGAUGCAAGCCAGGAGUGAAAGCACGGGGCCCAACCCCGGGACUGCUCUUGGAACUGCGUG